rnacentral:lncRNA from 1 species
GCCCCUUCCCCCCACCAGCCCAGCUGAUCUCUCCAUCCAUCCUGGGCCCUCCAGGCUUCUAAAAUGGAGCUGGGAGGCCAUUAAGGAAGUGGGGCUUAUGCUUGUACACCACAUCCACCACCAGAUGUUAACUGAACUUUUGAGCUUUACCUGACAGCAGAGGUCACAUCUUGAAGUGUUUCCUCAUUCCAAGAAGGGACAGUCUGCCUAGGACCAACUAUGUUCUGUUUAUGCCUCUUAUUUGCUGACUUUACAUGGUGACAGAAGCGGGAUCCCUAGCUACUGACCUUCAAUUCUGGUGCCACUUCACAGACACAAGCAAGGUGCCUGCAAAGAAUCUUUUGUGCUCUGUCGUCUCCUCCUGGUGGCUCUGGUUCCUGGUGGUUUCUCAAGAACUUGCUCCCAGAAAAAACCUGGAUGGAGAACAAAACAGGUAAGUGCCCAAGUGAGAAAUCUACAAAGCUCCUCUCCCCCAAAAUCAUCUCUUCCCCAUCAGUUGUGGGGCCUAACAUUUCACCAAUGGG